rnacentral:rRNA from 1 species
CCUACGGGAGGCAGCAGUAGGGAAUUUUCCACAAUGGGCGAAAGCCUGAUGGAGCAAUACCGCGUGCAGGAUGAAGGCCUUCGGGCCGUAAACUGCUUUUAUGUGCGAAGAAUUUGACGGUAACACAUGAAUAAGGAUCGGCUAACUACGUGCCAGCAGCCGCGGUCAUACGUAGGGUCCAAGCGUUAUCCGGAAUUACUGGGCGUAAAGAGUUGCGUAGGUGGCAUUAUAAGUGGAGCGUGAAAGCGUGCGGCUCAACCGCAUUAUUGCGUUCCAAACUGUGAAGCUUGAGUAUGGGAGAGGUAGAUGGAAUUUCUAGUGUAGGAGUGAAAUCCGUAGAUAUUAGAAGGAACACCGAUGGCGUAGGCAGUCUACUGGCCCAUUACUGACACUAAGGCACGAAAGCGUGGGGAGCAAACGGGAUUAGAUACCCCGGUAGUCCACGCUGUAAACUAUGGAUGCUAGCUGUGACACACAUCGACCUGUGUCGUAGCGAAGUUAACGCGUUAAGCAUCCCGCCUGGGGAGUACGGUCGCGAAGAUUAAAACUCAAAUGAAUUGACGG